rnacentral:rRNA from 1 species
CAGUAGCCACGGGAAUACGUAGGUGGCAAGCGUUGUCCGGAUUUAUUGGGCGUAAAGCGAGCGCAGGCGGUUUCUUAAGUCUGAUGUGAAAGCCCCCGGCUCAACCGGGGAGGGUCAUUGGAAACUGGGAGACUUGAGUGCAGAAGAGGAGAGUGGAAUUCCAUGUGUAGCGGUGAAAUGCGUAGAUAUAUGGAGGAACACCAGUGGCGAAGGCGACUCUCUGGUCUGUAACUGACGCUGAGGCUCGAAAGCGUGGGGAGCAAACAGGAUUAGAUACCCCAGUAGUCCCUGUCUCUUAUAC